rnacentral:lncRNA from 1 species
GUGAAAGUUGCGAAGUCUACAUUUAACAUAAGACAUAACUACUAUUUUCAUGAGAAAUAUCUACCAUUUAGAUAAGAAAAAUCACAUAAAUGUAGACUUUUUAGAAAUAAAAAUGGUUCUUAAGAUUGAAUCAAUUAUUGAAGGUGAAAGUUGGAAAGUCUACAUUUAACAUAAGACACAACUACUCUUUUCAAGAGAAAUGUCUACUAUUUAGGUGAGCAAAAUCAUAAAAAAGUACACUUUUUAGUCAUCGGAAUCAUAACGUGCCUACUAAAGUAAUAUAACUUGUUUGGUAGGUUAUAUGCUAGUGUACAACUUUUGAACAAACUAUAUAAAGAAAGCAAAAUUUUCAAAAAUCUCGUGAAAUAUGAUGUGAUCGAUAUAGUAAAAUACAGCUACGGUAGGAAAAUCACUUUAAUUCGCCAAUGUUUGGGCUCCGAUCGAAGCGGUCAACCUUAUUUACGCUUAUGCUUCACUAAGGAGAGCCCUAUCCUCGGGUGGUAAAUGGCCCCAAAGUUUUACAUGGGUGGUUAUGUCUCAUCUAUGUGACCCUUUAUUGUGUUGAAGAAUUCACCAAACUAAGUCACGAAGAGGUAGGUAAGAUAGUUUUCGUGCGAUAAGUGAAGACGAAUUAGGUUUGACCGCUUUGAUCGAGCCCCAAACAUUGUUGAAUCCAGUUGAAUUUUAUACCAUGGCCAUGUUUCACUAUAAUGAUCACAUCAUACGGUCAAUUUUUAUUUUGUGAAUUUUAGUCAUCGGAAUCAUAACGUGCCUACUAAUGUGAUACGUAUAACUUGUUUGGUAGGUUAUAUGCUAGUGUACAACUUUGUGAACCAACUAUAUAGAGGAAACAAAAUUUUCAAAAAUCUCAUGAAAUAAGAUGUGAUCGGUAUAGUAAAAUACGGUUACGAAAGGAAAAUCACUUUAAUUCGCCAAUGUUUGGGCCCCGAUCGAAGCGGUCAACCUUAUUUACGCUUAUGCUUCAAUAAGGAGAGCCCUAUCCUCGGGUGGUAAACGUUCCCAAAGUUUUACAUGGGUGGUUAUGUCUUAUCUAUGUGAGACUUUAUUGUGUUGAAGAAUUGACCAAACAAGGUCACAAAGAGGUAUGUAAGAUAGUUUUCGUGUGAUAAAUGAAGAUGAAUUAGGGUUGACUGCUUUAAUCGAGCCGGGAACAUUGUUGAAUCCAGUUGAAUUUUAUAUCAUACCCAUGUUUCAUUAUAAUGAUCACAUCAUACGGUCAAUUUUUAUUUUGUGAAUUUUCAUUGAUUCAAUCUUAAGAACAAUUUUGAUUUCUAAAAUGUCUACUUUUUUGUGAUUUUGCUCAUCUAAAUGGUAGACAUUUCUCAUGAAAAUAGUAGCUGUGUUUUAUGUUAAAUGUAGACUUUGCAACUUUCACCUUCCAUUAUUGAUUCAAUCUCAAGAAUAAUUUUGAUUUCCAUAAAAUCUACUUUGCUUUGAUUUGGCUUAUGUUAACGGUAGACAUUUCUAAUGAAAAUAGUAAAUGUGUGUUAUGUUAAAUGUAGACUUUCCAUCUUUUAUCAUGGGUUGAUUCAAUAUCAAGAACAAUUUUGAUUUCCAGAAAGUCUACUUUUCUUUGAUUUGGCUUAUGUUAAUGGUAGACAUUUCUAAUGAAAAUGGUAGAUGUGUGUUAUGUUAAAUGUAGACUUUGCAACUUUCACAUUCUAUUAUUGAUUCAAUCUCAAGAACAAUUUUGAUUUCCAGAAAGUCUACUUUUUUGUGAUUUUGCUUAUCUAAAUUGUAGAUAUUUCUCUUGAAAAGAGUAGUUGUGUCUUAUGUUAAAUUUAGACUUUGCAACUUUCACCUUCAAUAAUUGAUUCAAUCUUAAAACCAUUUUUAUUUCCAGAAAGUCUAUCUUUAUGUGAUUUUUCUCAUCUAAAUGGUAGAUAUUUCUCAUGAAAAGAGUAAUUGUGUCUUAUGUUAAAUGUAAACUUUGCAAUUUUCACCUUCAAUAAUUCAUUCAAUCAUAAGAACCAUUUAUAUUUCCAGAAAGUCUACAUUUAUGUGAUUUUUCUCAUCUAAAUGGUAGAUAUUUCUCAUGAAAAUAGUAGUUGUGUCUUAUGUUAAAUGUAAGAGAAAUUUUAAAUACACACCCCUAAUCUCUUAAUACACACCUCUAUUAUUUUAUGUUUCUAUUGAGAUGUAAUAUGUAAGUUAAAUGACCAAAACAUAUAUCUAUUAUUAAAAAUAAAUAAAUCGCGCUAGAAGUAUUCUUUCCAACGUCUUCUACCCUAAAAUCGUCGAAAACACAUAUUCUCCCUAACCCCAAUUCUUCUCCACAAUUCUAUUUGGGUUGUUUCUUUUUUUUUGUUAUCCGUAUCAGCUCAAACUCUAUUGUAAUAUACUUUUCGAUUUUGGUUUUAUUUAUCAAACAUGGUUUUCGGAUUUCUUUGUGAUCUUUGAUUGUUCUAUGUUUUGAUUUGUAACUUCUUGAAUAUAUGAUGAUUUCGUGAUUUAGGUUUUGGGGCAGUAGCAUGUUCUUAUGUGUUUUUGAUUUCUAAUUGAUUAAUUAUCAUGAAUUCGUGGAUCUAAAUCAAUCCUUGAGGCUGCCUCGGCCAUGGUUGUCCUUAAGAUGCGGUUUCAUCUACCAUAAUAAUUUUGGAUCGAUUCAUACGCAAAGUUGUCUUGGUCUCUGUUAUUAACUUAGGGCAGAUAUAAUUCUGAUAAUUUGCAUGCUCAUAGGAUAAGUGACGCCAUGCCUUAGAUCAUGUUUCCGAUUGACUCGUGUGCUAAAGUGUUUUCUUGUUUAAUCUCUACACAACAGAUCAUAAUGUCAAGUACUGCAUAUUUAUCAGCUUUAGUUUGAUCUUGGAGAUUAUAUUGUCAAGUACUGCAUCUUUAUCAUGACAUGUUUUAUCGAAUAACUAGCUAUCUAUGUUUAAUAGCUACUGUACUUCUACAGUUGUACUAGCUAGCUUGUGAAUUUUGAAAACUUGUAUUGGUGAUUCGGAGUCGGAAUAUAACAAUAAUCAUUUGAUUAUAAAUUGAACAAUGAUAACUAAAAAUUUCUAGCAAAAAUUAGACGAAAUAAUACGUAAAAAGAGGUACCAAAUAGUAAAUAUAUAUUAAUUAUAUUAAAUAACGGAAUAUUUCAUAAAUUAAGGACGUUUUAGGCAGUUUGGAAUGUGUAUUAAGUAUAAUACUAAAAUGAAAAACUUGAUAGGUGGUGUAUUAAGUAAGGGGUGUGUAUUAAGAUAUUAGAAAAUUUCAUAUAAGUCACAUUCUGAACAUUUUCUCCUACAUAAGUCCACCAUAACAGUUUUACUCAUAUAAGUCCACUUUUAAGGCUAAAUCUGUUAUUUUACUUUUACGAUGUACCUAAAAUGGCCUCCUCUCCUUUACACCAAUUCUCUCUCUCUCUCUNNNNNNNNNNNNNNNNNNNNAUCGGAAACCUCACAGUAGUAGCUUUUGUAGGUGGUGGUAGUAGCUUUUGUAGGUGGUGGUAGUAGCUUUUGUAGCUGGUGGUAGUAGCUUUUGUAGCUGGUGGUAGUAGCUUUUGUCGCUAGUGGUAGUAGCUUUUGUGUUCGUCGAAAACCUCACAGUAGUAGUUUUUGUAGGCGGUGGUAGUAGCUUUUGUAGCUUGUGGUAGUAGUUUUUGUGGCUGGUGGUAGUAGCUUUUGUUUUCAUCAGAAACCUCACAGUAGUAGCUUUUGUAGGCGGUGGUAGUAGCUUUUGUUAGCUUGUGGUAGUAGUUUUUGUGGCUGGUGGUAGUAGCUUUGUUUUCAUCAGAAACCUCACAGUAGUAGCUUUUGUAGGCGGUGGUAGUAGCUUUUAUAGCUGGUGGUAGUAGCUUUUUUAGCUUGUAGUAGUAAUUUUUGUCAUCGUCGGAGGUCGGCCGGAAACCUCGCCGGAGGUCGGUCGGAAAUCUCGCCGGAGGUCGGCCGGAAACUUUUGUAGUAGCUUUUGUAGGCGAUGGUAAUAGCUUUUAUAGCUGGUGGUAGUAGCUUUUUUAGCUGGUAGUAGUAAUUUUUGUCAUCGUCGGAGGUCGGCCGGAAACCUCGCCGGAGGUCAGUCGGAAAUCUCGCCGGAGGUCGGCCGGAAACUUCGCCGGAAACCUCGCCGGAGGUCCGCUGGAAAUCUCGCCGGAGGUCCGCCGGAGACUGUUCCGAAAUGAGAGUGGUUGUUGACUUUUUAUACUAAUGGCAUUCUUGUAAAUAUAAAGGAGAAAAUCUAAUUUUUUUUGUUGGAUGGCAGUCUGUAAUUAUGUUGAACUUUAAUACUUAAUACAAAACUUUAUUUAGACUUGGGUGGACUUAUGUGGGUAAAAAUGUUGGGGUGGAUUUAUUUGGGAAAAAAUGUCUCAAAGUGAACUUAUAUGUAAUUGGCCCUUAAGAUAUUAGGGGUGUGUAUUUAAAAUUUCUCUAAAUGUAAACUUUGUAACUUUCACCUUCAAUAAUUUAUUCAAUCUUAAGAACCAUUUUUAUUUCCAGAAAGUCAACAUUUAUGUGAUUUUUCUCAUCUAAAUGGUAGAUAUUUCUCAUGAAAAUAGUAGUUGUGUAUUAUGUUAAAUGUAAACUUUGCAACUUUCACCUUCCAUUAUUGAUUCAAUCUCAAGAACAAUUUUGAUUUCGAGAAAGUCUACUUUUUUAUGAUUUUGCUCUUCUAAAUGGUAGACAUUUCUCUUGAAAAUAGUAGUUGGGUCUUAUGUUAAAUGUAGACUUUGCAAUUUUCACCUUCAAUAAUUGAUUUAUUCUUAAGAACCAUUUUUAUUUCCAGAAAGUCUACAUUUAUAUGAUUUUUCUCAUCUAAAUGGUAGAUAUUUCUCAUGAAAAUAGUAAUUGUGUCUUAUGUUAAAUGUAGACUUUGCAACUUUCACCUUCCAUUAUUGAUUUAAUCUCAAGAACAAUUUUGAUUUCCAGAAAGUCUAUUUUUUUGUGAUUUUGUUUAUCUAAAUGGUAAACAUUUCUCAUGAAAAUAAUAGUUGUGUCUUAUAUUAAAUGUAAACUUUGCAAGAACAAUUUCUAAUGAACAAUUUCACAUGUCUUAACAUUUCUCAUUAUUGAUUCAAUCUCAAGAAUAAUUUUGAUUUCCAUAAAAUCUACUUUGCUUUGAUUUAGUUUAUGUUAAUGGUAGACAUUUCUAAUGAAAAUAGUAGAUGUGUGUUAUGUUAAAUGUAGAUUUUCCAUCUUUUACCAUAUGUUGAUUCAAUAUCAAGAACAAUUUUGAUUUCCAGAAAGUCUACUUUUCUUUUAUUUGGCUUAUGUUAAUGGUAGACAUUUCUAAUGAAAAUAGUAGAUGUGUGUUAUGUUAAAUGUAGAUUUUGCAAUUUUCACCUUCCAUUAUUGAUUCAAUCUCAAGAACAAUUUUUAUUUCCAGAAAGUCUACCUUUUUAUGAUUUUGCUCAUCUAAAUGGUAGACAUUUCUCUUGAAAAGAGUAGUUGUGUCUUAUGUUAAAUGUAGACUUUGCAACUUUCACCUUCAAUAAUUGAUUCAAUCUUAAAACCAUUUUUAUUUCCAGAAAGUCUACAUUUAUGUGAUUUUUCUCAUCUAAAUGGUAGAUAUUUCUCAUGAAAAUAGUAGUUGUGUCUUAUGUUAAAU